GCGGCUGGGCCGAGUGGGUGUCUGGUGCCGGCGUUUGGGCUACGGUUGUUGUUGGCGACUGUGCUUCAAGCGGUGUCUGCUUUUGGGGCAGAGUUUUCAUCGGAGGCAUGCAGAGAGUUAGGCUUUUCUAGCAACUUGCUUUGCAGCUCUUGUGAUCUUCUCGGACAGUUCAACCUGCUUCAGCUGGAUCCUGAUUGCAGAGGAUGCUGUCAGGAGGAAGCACAAUUUGAAACCAAAAAGUAUGUCCGUGGUUCAGACCCUGUAUUAAAGCUUUUGGACGACAAUGGGAACAUUGCUGAAGAACUGAGCAUUCUCAAAUGGAACACAGACAGUGUAGAAGAAUUCCUGAGUGAAAAGUUGGAACGCAUAUAAAUCUUGCUUAAAUUUUGUCCUAUCCUUUUGUUACCUUAUCAAAUGAAAUAUUACAGCACCUAGAAAAUAAUUUAGUUUUGCUUGCUUCCAUUGAUCAGUCUUUUACUUGAGGCAUUAAAUAUCUAAUUAAAUCGUGAAAUGGCAGUAUAGUCCAUGAUAUCUAAGGAGUUGGCAAGCUUAACAAAACCCAUUUUUUAUAAAUGUCCAUCCUCCUGCAUUUGUUGAUACCACUAACAAAAUGCUUUGUAACAGACUUGCGGUUAAUUAUGCAAAUGAUAGUUUGUGAUAAUUGGUCCAGUUUUACGAACAACAGAUUUCUAAAUUAGAGAGGUUAACAAGACAGAUGAUUACUAUGCCUCAUGUGCUGUGUGCUCUUUGAAAGGAAUGACAGCAGACUACAAAGCAAAUAAGAUAUACUGAGCCUCAACAGAUUGCCUGCUCCUCAGAGUCUCUCCUAUUUUUGUAUUACCCAGCUUUCUUUUUAAUACAAAUGUUAUUUAUAGUUUACAAUGAAUGCACUGCAUAAAAACUUUGUAGCUUCAUUAUUGUAAAACAUAUUCAAGAUCCUACAGUAAGAGUGAAACAUUCACAAAGAUUUGCGUUAAUGAAGACUACACAGAAAACCUUUCUAGGGAUUUGUGUGGAUCAGAUACAUACUUGGCAAAUUUUUGAGUUUUACAUUCUUACAGAAAAGUCCAUUUAAAAGUGAUCAUUUGUAAGACCAAAAUAUAAAUAAAAAGUUUCAAAA
rnacentral:lncRNA from 1 species